rnacentral:misc_RNA from 1 species
AUUAUGGGCCACUGGUAUGGCUAUGUUACGCCUGAUGAUGUGCCUGAAAUUCUGGAUCAGCAUAUUGGGCAAGGAGCAGUGAUAGAACGUAUUUGGAGGGGCCAAAUGGGUGCACCUACUGAAGAAGGUGAAAAGUUGGCUGAGCAAAAGCUUCCAAAUGGGCAAGAUGUGAAGGAAAGAAAGAAACACGAAGAAAGCAACAGCGAGGUCACUAACGAGAAUGUUGGUGGCUGUUGCCAGGGUACUAAUGGGUUUUCAUGCUGCAGAGAUGGAAGUUUGGGAUUAGAUGAAGAAAAGAAACCGGAGGAAAACAUCAAAGUUCAUGGAAAGAAGGGAUUAGGUAAACUGUCAAGCUGGAUAGCAUCAUUGGAGCAA